rnacentral:lncRNA from 1 species
CUCUAAUAUUACUUAAUCAAAUAUUUGUCGACGAUUAUGAGAAAUUACAUACAUACGUAUAUACGAUAAUUUUUCCCCUUAUCCUAGCUGCCUUUACUGUGCUUUUAAAAUUGUGUACAAUUAGUAUAGUGGAGCUCAGGCUCACUCCGUAUCCUUGUAUGUUGGGUUAGGUUUCUUGCAAAAACAUGUGGUGUCUAAGGAGCAAAGACUUUUAAGUUCUAUAUAUGUACAUAUGUACUUGAGUUGUGAAAUUGCACUUAUUUAUUGCCUUUGAAGUAUUCUCAGAGGUAAAAAUUACCGUUCCUCUGUGUUCGCUUACAAGAUAGAUAAAUGGGCUUCGAGAAAAUAGUUUUGAAGAAAGUGAUGAAAAAUGGAAUGAAUUACUUCUGAUUUGAGUAAUUUAGGUUCCGACGAUUCUUAUUUGCAAUCCGAUCAUGCUACCUAAUCAGAAAUUGAUGCAGAAGAUGAAGAAAUUGAAAAUCCGCACUGUUUAUAUACGUGGUACUAUUUGUAUGAUAAAAUUGUAAAUUUUUUCACAGGCAAACACGCCUGACUUUGGAAUUGCAAAUUGGUCGAUUAAAUCUUCACAAUCUAAACGUUUAAGUACAUCUGAUUCGAAGCAUAGAAUAGCUAAGCUAUUGAGUCUAUUUGAAUGACAUUAAAAAUGUUGACUCUAAAGUGGUCUCGACCUGACAGUUGUACACCGCCAUUACGUGGUUCAUCAGCAUGUUUCGAAUUCAAUUCACAUAUCAGCAACAACUUUGAUCAAACCACGAUAAUCGUCGAUCCCAUCAGCAAUGCUACAAUCAACAUUCUGCAAUCCUUGACUAACAGCAUGAUGCCAAAGUAUCUACAUAAAUGCUGUUUCAAAUCGCCCCAAUUGAAUUCGUAAACCAUUAGCUUCUUUAAUAAUAAUCAAAGUCUCAAUUAUUUCGCCGAAAUGUUGAUGAAGUACAUGAACAGCUUCAUAAAGAGCAAUUCUUUUUCCAGUAUGAAAUUGUAAAACUUCCCAGCGGUGCGUCGAUGCAGUUAAGAAGUUAUAUAAAGUUUGUACAAUAUUAAAGAAAGAAGCAGCUUCUGAUGCGCAUAUAGGAAUAAAUUUCUGAUACAUUGUUAGCGUUAUCAUAUGACUGACUUCGACAGUCGGUGUGGUCAAGAUAAAAAAACUCGAGAAUCGAUAAUACA